rnacentral:rRNA from 1 species
UUAAGCGACUAAGCGUACACGGUGGAUGCCCUGGCAGUCAGAGGCGAUGAAGGGCGUGCUAAUCUGCGAUAAGCGCCGGUAAGGUGAUAUGAACCGUUAUAACCGGCGAUACCCGAAUGGGGAAACCCAGUGUGAUUCGUCACACUAUCAUUAACUGAAUCCAUAGGUUAAUGAGGCGAACCGGGGGAACUGAAACAUCUAAGUACCCCGAGGAAAAGAAAUCAACCGAGAUUCCCCCAGUAGCGGCGAGCGAACGGGGAGGAGCCCAGAGCCUGAAUCAGCAUGUGUGUUAGUGGAAGCGUCUGGAAAGGCGCGCGAUACAGGGUGACAGCCCCGUACACAAAAGCGCAUAUGCUGUGAGCUCGAUGAGUAGGGCGGGACACGUGGUAUCCUGUCUGAAUAUGGGGGGACCAUCCUCCAAGGCUAAAUACUCCUGACUGACCGAUAGUGAACCAGUACCGUGAGGGAAAGGCGAAAAGAACCCCGGCGAGGGGAGUGAAAAAGAACCUGAAACCGUGUACGUACAAGCAGUGGGAGCACAGGUUUACCUGUGUGACUGCGUACCUUUUGUAUAAUGGGUCAGCGACUUAUAUUCUGUAGCAAGGUUAACCGUAUAGGGGAGCCGGAGGGAAACCGAGUCUUAAUUGGGCGUUAAGUUGCAGGGUAUAGACCCGAAACCCGGUGAUCUAGCCAUGGGCAGGUUGAAGGUUGGGUAACACUAACUGGAGGACCGAACCGACUAAUGUUGAAAAAUUAGCGGAUGACCUGUGGCUGGGGGUGAAAGGCCAAUCAAACCGGGAGAUAGCUGGUUCUCCCCGAAAGCUAUUUAGGUAGCGCCUCGUGAAUUCAUCUCCGGGGGUAGAGCACUGUUUCGGCUAGGGGGCCAUCCCGGCUUACCAACCCGAUGCAAACUGCGAAUACCGGAGAAUGUUAUCACGGGAGACACACGGCGGGUGCUAACGUCCGUCGUGAAGAGGGAAACAACCCAGACCGCCAGCUAAGGUCCCAAAGUCAUGGUUAAGUGGGAAACGAUGUGGGAAGGCCCAGACAGCCAGGAUGUUGGCUUAGAAGCAGCCAUCAUUUAAAGAAAGCGUAAUAGCUCACUGGUCGAGUCGGCCUGCGCGGAAGAUGUAACGGGGCUAAACCAUGCACCGAAGCUGCGGCAGCGACACUGUGUGUUGUUGGGUAGGGGAGCGUUCUGUAAGCCUGUGAAGGUGGCCUGUGAGGGUUGCUGGAGGUAUCAGAAGUGCGAAUGCUGACAUAAGUAACGAUAAAGCGGGUGAAAAGCCCGCUCGCCGGAAGACCAAGGGUUCCUGUCCAACGUUAAUCGGGGCAGGGUGAGUCGACCCCUAAGGCGAGGCCGAAAGGCGUAGUCGAUGGGAAACGGGUUAAUAUUCCCGUACUUGGUGUUACUGCGAAGGGGGGACGGAGAAGGCUAUGUUGGCCGGGCGACGGUUGUCCCGGUUUAAGCGUGUAGGUGUGUGUUCCAGGUAAAUCCGGUUCACUUUAACACUGAGGCGUGACGACGAGGCACUACGGUGCUGAAGCAACAAAUGCCCUGCUUCCAGGAAAAGCCUCUAAGCAUCAGGUAACAUCAAAUCGUACCCCAAACCGACACAGGUGGUCAGGUAGAGAAUACCAAGGCGCUUGAGAGAACUCGGGUGAAGGAACUAGGCAAAAUGGUGCCGUAACUUCGGGAGAAGGCACGCUGACACGUAGGUGAAGUGAUUUACUCAUGGAGCUGAAGUCAGUCGAAGAUACCAGCUGGCUGCAACUGUUUAUUAAAAACACAGCACUGUGCAAACACGAAAGUGGACGUAUACGGUGUGACGCCUGCCCGGUGCCGGAAGGUUAAUUGAUGGGGUCAGCGCAAGCGAAGCUCCUGAUCGAAGCCCCGGUAAACGGCGGCCGUAACUAUAACGGUCCUAAGGUAGCGAAAUUCCUUGUCGGGUAAGUUCCGACCUGCACGAAUGGCGUAAUGAUGGCCAGGCUGUCUCCACCCGAGACUCAGUGAAAUUGAACUCGCUGUGAAGAUGCAGUGUACCCGCGGCAAGACGGAAAGACCCCGUGAACCUUUACUAUAGCUUGACACUGAACAUUGAGCCUUGAUGUGUAGGAUAGGUGGGAGGCUUUGAAGUGUGGACGCCAGUCUGCAUGGAGCCGACCUUGAAAUACCACCCUUUAAUGUUUGAUGUUCUAACGUGGACCCGUAAUCCGGGUUGCGGACAGUGUCUGGUGGGUAGUUUGACUGGGGCGGUCUCCUCCUAAAGAGUAACGGAGGAGCACGAAGGUUGGCUAAUCCUGGUCGGACAUCAGGAGGUUAGUGCAAUGGCAUAAGCCAGCUUGACUGCGAGCGUGACGGCGCGAGCAGGUGCGAAAGCAGGUCAUAGUGAUCCGGUGGUUCUGAAUGGAAGGGCCAUCGCUCAACGGAUAAAAGGUACUCCGGGGAUAACAGGCUGAUACCGCCCAAGAGUUCAUAUCGACGGCGGUGUUUGGCACCUCGAUGUCGGCUCAUCACAUCCUGGGGCUGAAGUAGGUCCCAAGGGUAUGGCUGUUCGCCAUUUAAAGUGGUACGCGAGCUGGGUUUAGAACGUCGUGAGACAGUUCGGUCCCUAUCUGCCGUGGGCGCUGGAGAACUGAGGGGGGCUGCUCCUAGUACGAGAGGACCGGAGUGGACGCAUCACUGGUGUUCGGGUUGUCAUGCCAAUGGCACUGCCCGGUAGCUAAAUGCGGAAGAGAUAAGUGCUGAAAGCAUCUAAGCACGAAACUUGCCCCGAGAUGAGUUCUCCCUGAGACUUAGAGUCUCCUGAAGGAACGUUGAAGACGACGACGUUGAUAGGCCGGGUGUGUAAGCGCAGCGAUGCGUUGAGCUAACCGGUACUAAUGAACCGUGAGGCUUAACCUU